rnacentral:rRNA from 1 species
UGGGGAAUUUUGGACAAUGGGCGCAAGCCUGAUCCAGCAAUGCCGCGUGCAGGAUGAAGGCCUUCGGGUUGUAAACUGCUUUUGUACGGAACGAAACUGCCCUUUCCAAUACAAGGGGUUAAUGACGGUACCGUAAGAAUAAGCACCGGCUAACUACGUGCCAGCAGCCGCGGUAAUACGUAGGGUGCGAGCGUUAAUCGGAAUUACUGGGCGUAAAGCGUGCGCAGGCGGUCUUGUAAGACAGAUGUGAAAUCCCCGGGCUCAACCUGGGACCUGCAUUUGUGACUGCAAGGCUGGAGUACGGCAGAGGGGGAUGGAAUUCCGCGUGUAGCAGUGAAAUGCGUAGAUAUGCGGAGGAACACCGAUGGCGAAGGCAAUCCCCUGGGCCUGCACUGACGCUCAUGCACGAAAGCGUGGGGAGCAAACA